rnacentral:rRNA from 1 species
GCGGCCUAUCAGCUUGUUGGUGAGGUAAUGGCUCACCAAGGCGACGACGGGUAGCCGGCCUGAGAGGGUGACCGGCCACACUGGGACUGAGACACGGCCCAGACUCCUACGGGAGGCAGCAGUGGGGAAUAUUGCACAAUGGGCGAAAGCCUGAUGCAGCGACGCCGCGUGAGGGAUGACGGCCUUCGGGUUGUAAACCUCUUUCAGUAGGGAAGAAGCGAAAGUGACGGUACCUGCAGAAGAAGCGCCGGCUAACUACGUGCCAGCAGCCGCGGUAAUACGUAGGGCGCAAGCGUUAUCCGGAAUUAUUGGGCGUAAAGAGCUCGUAGGCGGUUUGUCGCGUCUGCCGUGAAAGUCCGAGGCUCAACCUCGGAUCUGCGGUGGGUACGGGCAGACUAGAGUGAUGUAGGGGAGACUGGAAUUCCUGGUGUAGCGGUGAGAUGCGCAGAUAUCAGGAGGAACACCGAUGGCGAAGGCAGGUCUCUGGGCAUUAACUGACGCCGAGGAGCGAAAGCAUGGGGAGCGAACAGGAUUAGAUACCCUGGUAGUCCAUGCCGUAAACGUUGGGCACUAGGUGUGGGGGACAUUCCACGUUUUCCGCGCCGUAGCUAACACAUUAAGUGCCCCGCCUGGGGA